GCCGCUCGGCUCGGCGCGGCUGCGGCGUCCCGUGCGGGCGGGCUCGGAGGCUGCCGUGCCGCUCCGAGGAGUCCAGAACAUACCUAUAGAGCUGCAGCUUCUCUUUCUCUGAGUGCUGCCAAAGGUAUGAGCUGUUAUGUAGCAGUUGCAUGUGAAGAGAAGACAGAGUACAAGUCGUCAUCAGAAGAUCCUGUCCUAAGCUGGGCCUGAAAGUUCAU